UCAAAUUUGAAAUCUGGCCCCUCUGGGGGUCCGAGUUGUAAUUUGCAGAGGACACUUCGGGUGCGGCCGCGGUCUAAGUCCCCUGGAACGGGGCGUCGGAGAGGGUGAGAAUCCCGUCUGGGACCGUGGACCUGCCCCGUGUGAAGUUCCUUCGACGAGUCGAGUUGUUUGGGAAUGCAGCUCUAAGUGGGUGGUAAAUUUCAUCUAAAGCUAAAUACUGGCGGGAGACCGAUAGCGCACAAGUAGAGUGAUCGAAAGGUUAAAAGCACCUUGAAAAGGGAGUUAAACAGCACGUGAAAUUGUUGAAAGGGAAGCGCUGGCAGCCAGACAGGAACCCGGGGGCUCAGCGGGCAUGCGUGCCCGUGCACUCCCCCGCGGUUCCGGCCAGCAUCAGUUUCGGCGGCCGGUCAAAGGCCCCGGGAAGGUAUCGUCCUCCGGGACGACUUACAGCCCGGGGUGCAAUGCGGCCAGUCGG
rnacentral:rRNA from 1 species